rnacentral:lncRNA from 1 species
GUAUUACAAAAAACGCUCGAGGUAACCCGGCUGGCCAUAAUUACUCAUCUAUAAAAUUUUUAAAAAAAUGAACUUUUAGUACAAAGCUUCGAUUUCAGGAUACAAAGUUAUGUUGUAACUAUUGCAUUCAGUUUUAUAAUAAAUAACACAAAAGGGAACUUGGUGGAGUACGUGAAAUCUUAAUAUGGUAUGGCCUCUUAAAUUACACACACGUUUAUAUAUAUAGCCCAGGUGGUCUAGCGGGACGGCUGCAGUGCAGGCGUUUUGGUGUCACGAUAUCACAGUAGCAUGGGUUCGAAUCCCGGCGAGGGAAGAACCAAACAUUUGCGAAAGCAAGAUGACGACGACGCUAUAGUUGCUGUCUACAUUUAUAAAAUGUAAAGAUACUCGUCACCGAAAUUAUCACCAAAAUUUGUUCAGAAACAUUAUAUAAACCAGCAUUAUAUCGAGCCUAAUAUAUAAAUGAUAAUAUAUAUACAUUUAAUCUAUGCACUUGGUGCGUUAAAUCUUAUUUAAUGGUAUUAUGAUAUUUUCUCUUUUUUCCAGGUUGCGCAGCACAAAAUGAUACAGAAACUACAACAACACCAAACGCCGCAGUAACGCAGUGUAUAAGCAGUGUUAUUCUUUCUGCAUGUGUCCUAAUAGCCUAUAAACUGAUGUAAAACCAGCCUUUGAGUAAUGAAAUGUCUUGUUUUAAAGAUGAUGAUGCUCUAUUCAUAUUUAGUACAAUGUAUCCGUAUGCAUUUGAGAAAUGUGUGACAUUUAACUAACUGUUAUGAAAUGGAGAUUAAAUUUGAUUAAUUCUAUCCGAUAUUUUUUCAAUCCUGUAUUUAUUGUUACUAAAAAGAACAUCGGUAGUAUAUAACUCAAAAGAUAUUUUUCUUAAUAUUCCACACACCAUGCAACAAUCACAGAUUUGAUAAAAAUUAAAAUACAAACAAUCGUAAAAGGUGGAGGGGAGUCCAACCAAAGAACCUCUCCGAAGUUAUCACAUUCAAGGUCUCUCAGAAUACUGUAGCAAUACUUGACCACCGUUACUAAUUCUUUCACGAUAUACAUUUACUGGUGGACAGCAGGGGCCAAUGUUGACGAGUGGUCUAAAUACUAAAAUCACUGUAUCACUAGCAAGUAAACACUAAUGUUCUGAUUUCGAAUCCCGCACCUUGUAGGUGCAUUCGACUCCAACCUCACUUGACUGGGAUUUUCAGUUGCCAACCUAAGGUCUGUGGUCCUCUGCGGAUACUCCAGUUUCCUUCACUAAUAUAAACUGAUCGCCAUGAAAUAGCAUAAUACUGUUGAAAGUACCAUUAAAACGUCAAUCAAUGGUGACAGCAUUGUCUAAUCAAUAUUUGUCCUUUAUUUCUCCCAAGACUUCUUUCUGUUCGAAAUAAAUGUUUUUACUCCUUAGUGAGUAAUGACAAACAUACUUGUACUAGUAUAUAUAGAUUAGUUACCGUUAGGAUUUUAUUCAUGAUAAAUUACACAAAUCACAUGUUUAACACACUCACACCAGGACUUAUUUUGUCAUUUUCAUAUCAAGAGUUGAACAAUUGAUGCAAACUGCUAAGUGAAUUUGAGAAUGGAAAUGAGAAAUGCGUCAAAGAGACCACGACCUGACCAAAGACAAAAAACAGCUGAAGGCCCCCAAUAGGAAUUCUUUAAAAUUCACCAAUAUAACCAAAGGAAAUAUAUAGACAUUUAAUAUGUGUUGUUUUUUCGUGUAUCGAGAUACUAUAAAGAAAUAUCCCGCCAAACGUCUUGUGUAGUAGACACAAAACACUGCCAGUGGGACUACUCGAUUUCUUAAAACCUAACUUAUAUCGAAAAGAAAUGGAUUUAUGGAAUGUUUUGAUAAUUAAAAUAUUUGUUUUGAUUUGAUUUGCUUUUUGGUGUUUUAA